rnacentral:rRNA from 1 species
GAUGAACGCUGGCGGCGUGCCUAAUACAUGCAAGUCGAGCGAACGGACGAGAAGCUUGCUUCUCUGAUGUUAGCGGCGGACGGGUGAGUAACACGUGGAUACCCUACCUAUAAGACUGGUAUAACUUCGGGAAACCGGAGCUAAUACCGGAUAAUAUUUUGAACCGCAUGGUUCAAAAGUGAAAGACGGUCUUGCUGUCACUUAUAGAUGGAUCCGCGCUGCAUUAGCUAGUUGGUAAGGUAACGGCUUACCAAGGCAACGAUGCAUAGCCGACCUGAGAGGGUGAUCGGCCACACUGGAGCUGAGACACGGUCCAGACUCCUAAGGGAGGCAGCAGUAGGGAAUCUUCCGCAAUGGGCGAAAGCCUGACGGAGCAACGCCGCGUGAGUGAUGAAGGUCUUCGGAUCGUAAAACUCUGUUAUUAGGGAAGAACAUAUGUGUAAGUAACUGUGCACAUCUUGACGGUACCUAAUCAGAAAGCCACGGCUAACUACGUG